UACGGAAGGCAGCAGUGGGGAAUAUUGCACAAUGGGCGCAAGCCUGAUGCAGUCAUGCCGCGUGUAUGAAGAAGGCCUUCGGGUUGUAAAGUACUUUCAUCGGGGAGGAAAAACAAAACUAAUAAUUUUAUUUCUUGACGUUACCCGAAAAAGAAGCACCGGCUAACUCCGUGCCAGCAGCCGCGGUAAUACGGAGGGUGCUAGCGUUAAUCAGAAUUACUGGGCGUAAAGAGCACGUAGGUGGUUUUUUUAAGUCAGAUGUGAAAUCCCUGGGCUUAACCUGGAACUGCAUUUUGAAACUGAAAUACUAGAGUAUCGUAGAGGGAGGUAGAAUUCUAGGUGUAGCGGUGAAAUGCGUAGAUAUCUGGAGGAAUACCUGUGGCGAAAGCGGCCUCCUAAAUGAAUACUGACACUGAGGUGCGAAAGCGUGGGGAGCAAACAGGGAUUAGAUACC
rnacentral:rRNA from 1 species